rnacentral:rRNA from 1 species
UACAGAGGGGGCAAGCGUUGUUCGGAAUUACUGGGCGUAAAGGGCGUGCAGGCGGUCUGUUAAGUCUAGGGUGAAAGCUCCCGGCUCAACUGGGAGAGGUCCUUGGAUACUGGCGGACUUGAGGGAGGUAGAGGAGUAGUGGAAUUCCCGGUGUAGUGGUGAUAUGCGUAGAUAUCGGGAGGAACACCAGUGGCGAAGGCGGCUCUCUGGGCCUUACCUGACGCUGAGACGCGAAAGCGUGGGGAGCGAACCGG